ACUCGAGUGGCGAACGGGUGAGUAACACGUGGGUGAUCUGCCCUGCACUCUGGGAUAAGCCUGGGAAACUGGGUCUAAUACCGGAUAUGACCAACUGUCGCAUGGUGGUUGGUGGAAAGCUUUUGCGGUGUGGGAUGGGCCCGCGGCCUAUCAGCUUGUUGAUGGGGUAAUGGCCUACCAAGGCGACGACGGGUAGCCGACCUGAGAGGGUGAUCGGCCACACUGGGACUGAGACACGGCCCAGACUCCUACGGGAGGCAGCAGUGGGGAAUAUUGCACAAUGGGCGCAAGCCUGAUGCAGCGACGCCGCGUGAGGGAUGACGGCCUUCGGGUUGUAAACCUCUUUCACCAGGGACGAAGCGUGAGUGACGGUACCUGGAGAAGAAGCACCGGCCAACUACGUGCCAGCAGCCGCGGUAAUACGUAGGGUGCGAGCGUUGUCCGGAAUUACUGGGCGUAAAGAGCUCGUAGGCGGGUUGUCGCGUCGUCUGUGAAAUUCUGGAACUCAAUUGCAGGCGUGCAGGCGAUACGGGCAGACUUGAGUACUACAGGGGAGACUGGAAUUCCUGGUGUAACGGUGAAAUGCGCAGAUGUCAGGAGGAACACCGGUUGCGAAUGCGGGUCUCUGGGUAGUAACUGACGCUGAGGAGCGAAAGCGUGGGUAGCGAACAGGAUUAGAUACCCUGGUAGUCCACGCCGUAAACGGUGGGUACUAGGUGUGGGUUCCUUUUCAC
rnacentral:rRNA from 1 species